AGACUCCUCAGAGCGAGGGAUGGCCCCGCUGAGCUGAGUGAGCUGGGGCUGGCCAGGGAAAGCAGGAGGGAGGAGGGGCAUUUGAGGCAGAAGGGUUGAUAAGGAGGCAGACCCCCAGGCAGAAGGAGGCGCUGAGAGCUCUAUAUUUCUGUAACUUUACCCCUUUGGAGCCUGAAAACAGCACUGAGAAGUAGGGCAGGCAGAUAUUCUGCUCCCAUUUUUCAGAAAGGGCACUAAGGCCCAGAGAGGAACAGAGACUUAGCUGGUCAGUGACCAAGCCUCCUGGGUGAUGCUCUGCCCCCACCGAUCCAGGGGGCUGGAGGGGACAGGCCUGAAGAGAGGCCUUUGUCCCUUUGCCUGCUGGGGCGGGAGCAGCGGGAGUGGAGGCCGCAGCUGGCCACCAGCAGCUGUGGCGGCCAGAGCUGCAUUCCUUCCCCUGCCAGCAGAGCAAGUCCAGGCUCAUGGCAGGGGCCUGGAACGUUCUUUUUGUCUUAAAAAAAAAAAAGGCGCUUUAGUCAACAUUAAGUCGUGACUUCAAACAGACACAGCUCCCAACUCUCCUCCCUAGCCUUGGGUCUCUCCAACUCCCCAGGGUAAGCCCCCAGUCAGCCAAGUUUCUGGGAAAGGCUACAAGGCCUGGAUUUUGAGUCCAAAGACUUUGUGGUGAUGAGUCCUGGCUCGGCCUCCAACUUGCUGUGUGACCUCAGGCAGGUCACCAGCCUUCUCUGGGCCAGAGCGUCCUCUGCAAAACAGGGAAGGGAGAGUUGGACGACAUCAGGUGGGGUGGGGAGCCCAGCAACUGGCUCUAGCCAGCUGCAACAGCUUUGCUGCCCUUCAAGUUUGAGGCACUGGGGCCUCAGGGGUCCGGAAGCUGGGGACAGGCAGCCUUUCAUCUCUGCUGGCCCAGGGUCGCUGCAGGUUGGCAGGCCCCACAUCCCGAGAUCGCAUUUCAGGCUGGAAGGGGCCUUCCUGUGACCUCAGCCGGCCAGCUCUGCCCCUGUCCCCUCCUUCCCAUUCUCACCAGGGGGAAGCAGGCAGCAUCCCACCCAAGGUCACCGGUCAGCAAGUGACUGUCCUUCGGCCUGCCCUUCCCUCCCACCAGAGCCAGCCCUGUGGCCGAGUGGUUAAGUUCGCGAGCUCUGCUUCGGCGGCCCAGAAUUUCGCCGCUUUGGAUCCUGGGCGUGGACAUGGCACCGCUCACCAGGCCAUGCUGAGGCGGCGUUCCACAUGCCACAACUAGAAGGACCCACAACUAAAAUAUGCAACUAUGGACGGGGGGGGCUUUGGGGAGAAAAAGGAAAAAAAUAAAAUCUGAAAAAAAAAAAAUCUUCCAUUAAAAAUAAAAAAAAAAGACCCCACUCAAAUGACCCUUCCUUGUAAACGUUCUCCAACCCCCCAGUUAAGUUCUAUGCUUCUGUGAGCUCACAGCUCCUGCAACAAUUAGUGUCUCCCUCUUUGACUGUAACUUUUAUUGUCUUCUCCUUCACCAGAUUGGGA
rnacentral:lncRNA from 1 species